GCCGGGGUCAGACUUACCAGAAGCCUGCUCCAGUCUACAUCCUGGGGUUCCAAGUACAGUUUCCCAUCUCCUGGGGCGAGAUAAUGAUCGGUAUCCAGAGUGCUCUGAUGGUGAUCCCUGUAAAUCUACUCAUUGUCCAAUUUUUCCGGAAUUGUGCGGUCAGACCUUCCAGGAAAAUCAGUACUGUUGACGCGGUGAGUGUACCGAGGACGGACCCUGGCGGCACACCCUCACCAGCCAUGUCCUUCAGCCGGGACGAGCCUUUCUUCGCUCGGAGGUCAGAAGUCUACUCAGUAUCAUCGCAGGCAGAAGGCGAGGACGUACGCGUCACCACUGACGGCGGUUUAACAGUCGUUUCAGUAGAAGAAGUUGAACCCCCAGAAG